CUGAACGAUGCACCAGUCAUGACCUUCAGGGAGACGGAGAGUCAUGUUUAUGCUUCAAACGUUUUGGAAAAUGUUGUUUAUAUGCAGAUGGUUUCUGUCUGAGUUUCUCUGGAUGAAUCGGAUCUGAGGCCAGAAUCAGACGUGAUGUGAGGUUUGGGUCCAGACCAGGGAUCCUCUUCCUCCUCGUCUCCCAUCCGUCCAUCCACUUCCCGAACUCCGUGAAGGCCGACGGGAUGAACUGCGGAGCCUCUCGCUGUGAAAACACACAGAUGUUUGAAGACUGACAGCAGCCAAACAAACUGUAAUAACCUGUUUCAGAUAAAGGACGGCGUGAAAAGAACUGAACUCGCUUAGAAUUAAAAUAUUACUUCAUAAUUUUUGGCUUUAUCCGUAUCGACGUCUUUAAAUGUGACUCUGGACGUCGAGCCAAAGAAAAUGAAGACAUAAACUUUUGACUUACA